GGUGGAUCAGUGGUAGAGCACUUGCCUUACAUGCAUGAGGCCCUGGGUUUGAUUCCCCAGCACCA
rnacentral:tRNA from 1 species